rnacentral:rRNA from 1 species
CUGGGACUGAGACACGGCCCAGACUCCUACGGGAGGCAGCAGUGGGAAUAUGCACAAUGGCGAAAGCCUGAUGCAGCAACGCCGCGUGGGGGAUGACGGCCUUCGGGUUGUAAACCUCUUUUAGUAGGGAAGAAGGACUUCGGUUUGACGGUACCUGCAGAAAAAGCACCGGCUAACUACGUGCCAGCAGCCGCGGUAAUACGUAGGGUGCAAGCGUUGUCCGGAAUUAUUGGGCGUAAAGAGCUCGUAGGCGGUUUGUCGCGUCUGCUGUGAAAACCCGAGGCUCAACCUCGGGCCUGCAGUGGGUACGGGCAGACUAGAGUGCGGUAGGGGAGAAUGGAAUUCCUGGUGUAGCGGUGGAAUGCGCAGAUAUCAGGAGGAACACCGAUGGCGAAGGCAGUUCUCUGGGCCGUUACUGACGCUGAGGAGCGAAAGCGUGGGGAGCGAACAGGAUUAGAUACCCUGGUAGUCCACGCCGUAAACGUUGGGAACUAGAUGUGGGGACCUUUCCACGGUCUCCGUGUCGCAGCUAACGCAUUAAGUUCCCCGCCUGGGGAGUACGGCCGCAAGGCUAAAACUCAAAGGAAUUGACGGGGGCCCGCACAAGCGGCGGAGCAUGCGGAUUAAUUCGAUGCAACGCGAAGAACCUUACCAAGGCUUGACAUAUACCGGAAACUUCCAGAAAUGGUUGCCCCGCAAGGUCGGUAUACAGGUGGUGCAUGGUUGUCGUCAGCUCGUGUCGUGAGAUGUUGGGUUAAGUCCCGCAACGAGCGCAACCCUCGUUCUAUGUUGCCAGCACGUCAUGGUGGGAACUCAUAGGAGACUGCCGGGGUCAACUCGGAGGAAGGUGGGGAUGACGUCAAAUCAUCAUGCCCCUUAUGUCUUGGGCUUCACGCAUGCUACAAUGGCCGGUACAAAGGGCUGCGAUACCGUAAGGUGGAGCGAAUCCCAAAAAGCCGGUCUCAGUUCGGAUUGAGGUCUGCAACUCGACCUCAUGAAGUCGGAGUCGCUAGUAAUCGCAGAUCAGCAACGCUGCGGUGAAUACGUUCCCGGGCCUUGUACACACCGCCCGUCAAGUCAUGAAAGUCGGUAACACCCGAAGCCGGUGGCCUAACCCCUUGUGGAGGGAG